CCCUCAUCUUUCGCAGAAGGUUGACCUCGGAUCAGGUAGGAAUACCCGCUGAACUUA
rnacentral:rRNA from 1 species